UUUGUUUCUUAUAUUUUAAUAACUAAACUGCAACUCACCUUAUGUAAAGUAGAAUAUGAAAUUUCUAAUUUUGCACUACAAACUAUCUUCCAUGGUCUGAUAUAAAAAAAAAUAGAAUUUGAAUGGAAAGAAUAAAAUAAUGUGCCCAGUAAGUUUUCAUUCUCAAUCUCAUUCACCAUCUAGUUUCCACAACACAAUUUCUCCUCUUAUUACAUCCACACAUAACUCAUCACAGCUCAACAUAGCUCAUCACAGCUUAACACAACUCAUCACAAAAUACACAGUAACAUUUCCCACUUCCAAUCUCUACACAUUCACACACAACUCAUCACAACACACACACAUUAAAGUAUAAGUUUUCCUAAACUUUUAUUUGAUAAUAGUUGUGGUUCUGAGAGUUUCUAAUACUGUCUAUCAGUUGUUAUACCUAAAUGCAGUGUUACUAACAAAAUAAGUACAAUUUUGGGAUCUUGUUCCCCAUUACCUCGUUGGACAGGCACAUAUAUAAAUCAUGCAAUAAUUGAUCACAACAGUCCGUUGUCAGGUGACCCAGAAUAAAACAUGUAUCACAACCACGUCUAAAAGAACUUUCAUCUACCUGAGGUAGGGUUCAUCCACCGCUGACGUAUAUUAAGGAUUUUUGUUUGAAAGGUUCUUCCUACUUUUCACUUGUUUGUAAAGUUGCUUUAUUUCUUGAGUUUAAUUUGUAUAUUUAUUUACGCUUUACAUUUCCUAUCAGCUUGUUCACAUCCUCAACCACUUAUGACACUAUUUUUAAUUGCACACACUCUUUUAUAACUUUUUGCCAUUAUAUACUCUAUUUCAUCGCUUACUACCUUUUCAUUCUCAAUGAAUCUCACAUUAACUUAGCUUUGUUUUGUGUUGUUAAUUUAAAAGUUUAUGUUUUAAAUAACCUAUUUAAUUUAUUGUGGUUUAUGAAUUUAUUUUGGUU
rnacentral:lncRNA from 1 species